GUAGGGACCAAGCGUUGUCCGGAAUUAUUGGGCGUAAAGAGCUCGUAGGCGGUUCGGUAAGUCGGGUGUGAAAAUCCAGGGCUCAACCCUGGGACGCCACCCGAUACUGCUGUGACUAGAGUCCGGUAGAGGAGCGUGGAAUUUCUGGUGUAGCGGUGAAAUGCGCAGAUAUCAGAAGGAACACCAGCGGCGAAGGCGGCGCUCUGGGCCGGUACUGACGCUGAGGAGCGAAAGCGUGGGGAGCAAACAGGAUUAGAUACCCUGGUAGUCCACGCCGUAAACGUUGGGCACUAGGUAUGGGGUCUUAUCAACGGAUUCCCGUGCCGUAGCUAACGCAUUAAGUGCCCCCGCCUGGGGAGUACGGCCGCAAGGCUA
rnacentral:rRNA from 1 species